rnacentral:rRNA from 1 species
UCCUACGGGAGGCAGCAGUGGGGAAUCUUGCGCAAUGGGCGAAAGCCUGACGCAGCCAUGCCGCGUGAAUGAUGAAGGUCUUAGGAUUGUAAAAUUCUUUCACCGGGGACGAUAAUGACGGUACCCGGAGA